UACGGAGGGGGCUAGCGUUGUUCGGAAUUACUGGGCGUAAAGCGCGCGUAGGCGGACCUGCAAGUCGGGGGCGAAAGCCCGAGGCUCAACCUCGGAACUGCCUUCGAUACUGCGGGUCUCGAGUCCGGGAGAGGUGAGUGGAAUUCCUAGUGUAGAGGUGAAAUUCGUAGAUAUUAGGAAGAACACCCGUGGCGAAGGCGGCUCUCUGGGACGGUACUGACGCUGAGACGCGAAAGCGUGGGGAGCAAACAGG
rnacentral:rRNA from 1 species